UCCGUUUGACUUGGGAAGAAAAAUUAAUUUUCUGAAACACUCUUCCCUUCUCUGCGUGCUCCUUCAUCUUCCUCAGAAAACCAAACCUCCAUUUUUCUCCUCCAUCUCUCUAGAGACCUUUCUUCUUCUCUCUUCUGCAACUCACCCUCCUUUGCUCCGUUCACGUUUCAGCACCGUGAGAAGCGUCCCUGCACCGUGAGCUUUCCAUCAAACCGAUUGGUUUUGGAUUCUGAAACGGUUUGAGGAGUUUUGGGGUUUUAAACGUUAAGGGUAGAGGAGUAUACUGGAAUCUGUUUUCUCUCUCUCUGAAGAACGAACGCACGUUGCUUAAUCCGGAUGGUGAGGCGUUACUUGAAGAAACGCUGGAAGAAGAAAAUUUGGAGGACGCCAACCUCGUCGAAGCUGAAGUGAAGGCCGAACAGUGAACGUUCGGUUCUAGUUAGUGUAUUUAGAGUAGCGAGCGGCUGUGAGCGAGCG